GACGAACCGUGCGAACGUUAUUCGGAAUCACUGGGCUUAAAGCGCGUGUAGGCGGCCCGGAACGUCCGUCGCUGAAAUCCCCCGGCUCAACCGGGGAAGGGGCGGGGAUACGGCCGGGCUGGAGGGGGGUAGGGGGAUCGGGAACUUCCGGUGGAGCGGUGAAAUGCGUUGAGAUCGGAAGGAACGCCCGUGGCGAAAGCGCGGUCCUGGACCCCGCCUGACGCUGAGACGCGAAAGCCAGGGGAGCGAACGGG
rnacentral:rRNA from 2 species